rnacentral:rRNA from 1 species
AUUGAACGCUGGCGGAAUGCUUUACACAUGCAAGUCGAACGGCAGCACGGGGGCAACCCUGGUGGCGAGUGGCGAACGGGUGAGUAAUACAUCGGAACGUGCCCAGUCGUGGGGGAUAACGUAGCGAAAGCUACGCUAAUACCGCAUACGAUCUACGGAUGAAAGCGGGGGAUCGCAAGACCUCGCGCGAUUGGAGCGGCCGAUGGCAGAUUAGGUAGUUGGUGGGGUAAAGGCUCACCAAGCCGACGAUCCGUAGCUGGUCGGAGAGGGCGACCACCCAAGCUGGGACUGAACCCCGGCCCAGACUCCUACGGGAGGCAGCAGUGGGGAAUUUUGGACAAUGGGCGCAAGCCUGAUCCAGCCAUUCCGCGUGCAGGAUGAAGGCCCUCGGGUUGUAAACUGCUUUUGUACGGAACGAAACGGCUCUCUCUAAUACAGGGGGCUAAUGACGGUACCGUAAGAAUAAGCACCGGCUAACUACGUGCCAGCAGCCGCGGUAA